rnacentral:rRNA from 1 species
AACGAACGCUGGCGGCAGGCCUAAUACAUGCAAGUCGAACGGAUGUAGCAAUACAUUAGUGGCGCACGGGUGCCUAACGCGUGGGAACAUACCCUUGAGUAAGGAAUAAUGUCUGGGAACGGACACUAAUACCUUAUAAUGACUUCGGUCCAAAGAUUUGUCGCUCAAGGAUUGGCCCGCGUCUGAUUAGCUAGUUGGUGAGGUAACGGCUCACCAAGGCGACGAUCAGUCGCUGGUCUGAGAGGAUGAUCAGCCACACUGGGACUGAGACACGGCCCAGACUCCUACGGGAGGCGGCAGUAAGGAAUAUUGGACAAUGGGGGAAACCCUGAUCCAGCCAUGCCGCGUGAGUGAAGAAGGCCUUAGGGUUGUAAAGCUCUUUCAAUAGUGAAGAUAAUGACGGUAGCUAUAGAAGAAGCCCCGGCUAAAUUCGUGCCAGCCGCCGCAGUAA